CUAUUUGGUUGGGCUAGACCCAACCCGAUUAUAUAUUUAAAAAUAUAUAUAUGAUUAA
rnacentral:sRNA from 1 species